rnacentral:tRNA from 1 species
UGUGGAAUGGCUCAAGUGGUAGUGUUUGCUUAGCAAGCAAAAAGCUCUGAGUUCAAUUCCCAGUACCAAAA